rnacentral:lncRNA from 1 species
UCUCCUAAGAUACCAAAAAGAAAAGACCUAGUCUGAUGAACCUUCUCCUAGGAUCAAAAUCUUAGUCUGACGAAUUUUUCUCCUAAGAUAGAGACCUAGUCUGAUGAACCUUCUUCUAGGAUCAAAAUCUUAGUCUGAUGAAUCUUUCUCCUAAGAUAACCAAAAAACGAAAAUGACCUAGUCUGAUGAACCUUCUCCUAGGAUCAAAAUCUUAGUCUGACGAAUUUUUCUCCUAAGAUAGAGACCUAGUCUGACGAACCUUCUCCUAGGAUCAAAAUCUUAGUCUGAUGAAUUUUUCUCCUAAGAUAGAGACCUAGUCUGACGAACCUUCUCCUGGGAUCAAAAUCUUAGUCUGAUGAAUCUUUCUCCUAAGAUACCAAAAAAACAA